GUUGAAACACCUGUUCUCGUACGAUCAUCGCAGUUAAGCAACGUGAAGCCUGGUCAGUACCUCGACGAGUGUCCGCUUGAGAAUAACAGGCGCUGUAA